CUUCAGGAGAGGAAAGACUAAGGAAAAUGCUGGAGCUGAUAAUGGGGCAGCACCUGUGGAAAGGAAAAAACAUCCUGUGAACACAGCUGAUCCUCCAUGACUUGCAGGAGGAAGAAAGUUUUAUUGGAAGGGAAAAAUGUUCUACUCAUACAGUAGCUGGUAUUGACCAACACAAGAAAGAUUAUAGGAUGUAUCUUGGCAUUUCAGCAAUGAAUGACAAAUUCUGUCAUCCACAUUACAAGAGGUAUGGUGUCUCUUAGGUCUCAUAGUACCCUAAGAAAUUAAUCUCUACUAAAUCAUAUCACACAAGCACAUUCCAAAGAACUUUGAAAACAAGGAAGAAUCCUUUGGGAUUAUAGUAUGACUUGUCCAACAGAGUGCUGUGGAAACUACUGCCCUUCUCUUGCAAAAGUGGAAAAAAUAACUAGAUAUUAAUGUAAUUAAACAAUAUAGGAUAUCUUGAAGGACUGAAAAUACUUCCACUAUUUUCUUAUUUUCUAGAAAUAAGCCUGAAAAAGGAUUCAAAUGUUAAUGAAUGUGCACUUACUAUAGCAAUAAAUUGCACAAUGGUGACACCAAAUUAUCACUGAGAUGUUCAGCACUGAAGUGGUGAUCAGCAUGGCCAAUGGCCACUCAUCAGCUGUGACAGUGACACCAGUCACACCACUGAACAGCCAGAGAACUGAACUAGGGGGCUAAGGGACCAAACAGAAUCCCACAUUUCCCUUAAAGAUAUACACACCAUCUACCACAGCAGCUUUUGACUGGGUUUUUUGAUGAACAGCUCCAAAGCCUGGGUGAAGUGAAUCACCUCUCUCCCUGGAGUACACCCUGAGACAGCCAAAGCCAUCCCAGCCCCCAAAGGACUCACACCAACCCUCCUCUUCUAUACUGUCAUCUUCAGUGGAGUGGCACAAGUACUUGUGCACUCCACUGUGAAGAUUCUGGAAGCAACCUAAAUAAAAACUAAGUCCAGGAAAUAAAAUUUUUUAAAAAUCAAGAAAAAAGUUUUACUUUAACUCAGAUAAUUACCUUGCACUUUAAAAAUAUUGGUGCUUGCCUUCACGUUACAGAGUGGAGAGAACUGCUCUUUCUACAAUCAUGCCAGUAUAAAAUAUUCAUGAACUGCAGCACCACACAGCAAACAAGCAGAGGCCAUGAGCACUUCACUGCUGUGAUCACAGAUAACAAGCAAUUAUUUUUUCUCUCCACUUAGUCUCACUGAAUCCCUUAUGCUAAGUGGUGCUGAAAGGUAGGAGCUGUCCUUGGCAAAGAUGAACCUUAAUUUCACUGCUGUUAUUUCUGUAUGAACCAUUUUAAGAAAAAAUACUGUUAUUUCAUUUCUAUACUUAACUAUAGUUGCAACAUCACUUCUACUACUACCAGCAGAAAAAAACCCUUAAGGUUUUUCAUAGCUAUGAACAGCUAUCCAAUUAAAAAGAAAAAGUGAAGUUUUGCCUGCAAAAUAUAAUACAAACUCUGAAAACUAAAGCAGUCCAUAGUUAUUGGAGGUGGGGGCAGUGUCAGCAGGAUGUACCAUAUGUACCACACUUUCUACCUGGCUCUCCCUUGCUGCUUCGGCUGGGAAUGGUGUGGGCAUGCAGCAAAUUGACCACUCUGUUCAGAGCAGUGGGCAGCUCUUCCUGACACCAGGAUUCAUCUAACUCACACUCUGGUUUCAUCAGGCGCAAGGUCACGUGGCUGACCAGAGUACCUGGAAUGGAGGAGUGAAGAAUCCAUGAGAGGGCUAAAACAAAAGAUUUCUUGAGAGAAAAAGCCCCAGGAACACAGACAAGAAUUGUAACAAAGCUCUGGGCAAGAGCCCAGGCUGCAAAGAGGCUCAGGGCAGGAAACCCAACCCAGGGCUGUCAGGGGACAGAUUUCUUCAUGUGUGUGAGUUACACUCACACCCUCCAAACUCUGCACAGGAAGAUGGUCCCACAGUGACCAGCUGCUCCUCAGAGCUGGUCACUGACCAGACAAGAACUUGUCUUUGGUCCCAGUCCCACCCAGCAGUAGGAUCUCUGGGAAAUCACAGCCAUCUCCCUAAGCACUGUUCCAGGUGGUUUUUCCUCUUGGCUUCCUGUGGUAUAAGGUCAUGAUCCACAGUCUGUAAGAGCAAGAAUUUUCACCACCUUCAAAAUGACCUGCCCUUAAAAAGCAACUGCAAAUACUCACCAAAGGUUUUCAGUCGAGCAGGCAUGACACAGGAAGCUAAGGAAAGAAAAGGCUUCUUAAUCCUUGGAGCAGCCAAAGGAGAUCGAAAAAGUGGCAAGAAGGAGCUGAUGAGACCAGGGAUGUACUGAGUGAGACCAGGAGGCUUUUUCUUUAUAACGGUGUCCAGGAGUCCUAGAGCUGUUUCCAGCUCAUUAUCAAGCUGUUAGAAAAACAAUUCAAGAGAUUACCAUUAAAAAAGAGCUCCACUGGAAAAAAAUCAAUUCAAUCUCAUUUCUAAUAACAGAAACAAACAGAUGAUUGCUACACCAUUUUCUCUCCAUUGAAGUGACUGGGGUCAUGGUGGCUUUAGAGGUGACAAAAAAUACAACCAAAACUCACCUCCUUCAGCCGUUUCCUUAUCUGAGCCUCCCUUUCCAGCUGUGCAUGCAUCAGCUCCUUCUGCUUGCUCGUCAGCUGCACCUCAUCCUUUAUUCCCUUCUUCUUCUUUAUCUCCUGCAACAGAGAGCCAUGGUCAUCAUUAUCUGGGAGCUACAAACACCAUCCCUUCAAUUAGUCAGAGAAGCAAGUUGGAAACAGGGGUUUUUGCAAUUUAUUUUUAAAACAAUAUCAAAAUAUCCUUGCAAGUAUAUCCCCCUUGAGUAAAGACACAAAAUGGAAAUCAGGAGGUUAAAAGCACUUUAGUGUCCCACAGCAUAAGUUUCUCUGUAUUGGUCACAAAUUAUUUGAUAAUAAAAAGUGCUGUCCAAUUCAUUUACAGGGGUGCUAUGUCACCCUCCCCAGAGCUAAGAGAAGUCAACCUUUGUUUAAAAAAUGGGAUACAUACAGAUAGAAAUAUUCCAAGUAGUUCAGAGAAUCUUUCCUACCAGCACACAGACAUACGCCAGAAGCCAUGGAACAACACACAACUUGCAGUGAAGAUUCUGACCAGCCUGGCACUCCUUCUUCCAUCAACUCACCUCUUUCAGCUCCAGCUCAAUAAUUUGCUCCUUGAAGGAAUAAGCUUUGUUCUCCCUCUUCAUGUUAGCCUUUUUCAUACUGUCCUGUUGAGCACUGAGAAGGAAAAGUGGAGAAGGAAUCAGCACUGCUCUGGACUAAGGACCAGGCAUAAAAAUCCAGGAACUUCUGUGCUCUUUCUAGAGCAUCUGACACACCCAGUCACCCACUGGCAAGAAUAUGAGCAAUGAUCAAUCCAUCCCCAGAUGCACAGAAAUUAUGAAGACUUACCUCUGUAUUAUAGAUUUGUCAUACAGUUCUCCCUCGGGUGUCUUCAUGAUGGCAAAUUCCUCUCGAGUAACCUGGCACAGAGCUGGAUUCUCCAUUGAUGCUGAGAUAGUGCUGAUGAGCUGGGGGAGCACUCUGCCAGGUAAAAGCAGGGAGAGAGA